GCGGAAGGAUCAUUACUGAGUGAGGGCCCCUCGGGGUCCAACCUCCCACCCGUGUUUAACGAACCUUGUUGCUUCGGCGGGCCCGCCUCACGGCCGCCGGGGGGCAUCCGCCCCCGGGCCCGCGCCCGCCGAAGCCACCUGUGAACGCUGUCUGAAGUAUGCAGUCUGAGACAAUUAUUAAAUUAAUUAAAACUUUCAACAACGGAUCUCUUGGUUCCGGCAUCGAUGAAGAACGCAGCGAAAUGCGAUAACUAAUGUGAAUUGCAGAAUUCAGUGAAUCAUCGAGUCUUUGAACGCACAUUGCGCCCUCUGGUAUUCCGGAGGGCAUGCCUGUCCGAGCGUCAUUGCUGCCCUCCAGCCCGGCUGGUGUGUUGGGCCCCGCCCCCCUUCCCGGGGGGGCGGGCCCGAAAGGCAGCGGCGGCACCGCGUCCGGUCCUCGAGCGUAUGGGGCUUUGUCACCCGCUCUUGUAGGCCCGGCCGGCGUCAGCCGACCCCCUCAAUCUAUUUUUUCAGGUUGACCUCGGAUCAGGUAGGGAUACCCGCUGAACUUAAGCAUAUCAAUAAGCGGAGGAAAAGAAACCAACCGGGAUUGCCCUAGUAACGGCGAGUGAAGCGGCAAGAGCUCAAAUUUGAAAGCUGGCCCCCUCGGGGUCCGCAUUGUAAUUUGCAGAGGAUGCUUCGGGAGCGGUCCCCAUCUAAGUGCCCUGGAACGGGCCGUCAUAGAGGGUGAGAAUCCCGUAUGGGAUGGGGUGCCCGCGCCCGUGUGAAGCUCCUUC
rnacentral:rRNA from 1 species